rnacentral:misc_RNA from 1 species
GAGAGUCUAAACAACUCCCAAACCCACUGUGAACAUACCCUACGUUGCCUCGGCAGGCGCCCGGCUCCGCGACCCCUCGGGGCUGCGGGGUGGCCCUGCCGGCGGCCCACGAAACUCUUGUCUAGCACUGAAUUCUGAGCCCGAGAGGGAUUAAAACAAAAUUAGUUA